UCGCUUUGGGAGGAGCUCGCUUACUAUCAGCUUGUUGGUAGGGUAAUGGCCUACCAAGGCUAUGACGGUUAGGGGGUGUGAGAGCAUGACCCCCAGCAUUGGCACUGAAACACUGGCCAAACACCUACGGGUGGCUGCAGUCGAGAAUCUUCCACAAUGGGGGAAACCCUGAUGGAGCGAUGCUGCGUGCGGGAUGAAGGCCUUCGGGUUGUAAACCGCUUUUGUAGGGGACGAAAUUUUUGACGGUACCCUUUCGAAUAAGAGGUUGCUAACUCUGUGCCAGCAGCAGCGGUAAUACAGAGACCUCAAGCGUUAUCCGGAUUUACUGGGCGUAAAGCGUCUGUAGGGGGUUUAUUAAGUUCCAAGUAAAAUUUCAAGGCUCAACUUUGAAUUCGCUUGGAAAACUAAUAAACUGGAGUCUAGCAGAGGUGCAUGGAACUUGUGGUGUAGGAGUGAAAUCCGUUGAUAUCACAAGGAACACCAAAGGCGAAGGCAUUGCACUGGGCUAGCACUGACCCUGAGAGACGAAAGCGUGGGGAGCAAAACGGAUUAGAUACCCGUGUAGUCCACGCCCUAAACGAUGAAUGCUAAAUGUUCGGGGAUUCGACCCCCUGGGUGUUACAGCUAACGCGUUAAGCAUUCCGCCUGGGAAGUACGGCCGCAAGGCUAAAACUCAAAGGAAUAGACGGGGAUCCGCACAAGCGGUGGAGCGUCUGGUUUAAUUCGACAGUAAGCGUGGUACCUCACCAGGGUUUGACAUCCCUUGACAGCCUUGGAAACAAGGUUUCCUUCGGGCAAGGUGACAGGUGCUGCAUGGUCGUCGUCAGUUCGUGCCGUGAGGUGUUCCGUUAAGUCGGGAAACGAACGAAACCCCUAUUGCAUGUUACAAUUUCCCAUGCAAGACUGCCCGGAUAUACUGGGAGGAAGGUGGGGAUGACGUCAGAUCUGCAUGGUCCUUAUACCCUGGGCGACACAGGCGCUACAAUGGCAGAGACAAAGGGUUGCAAAACCGCAAGGUGAAGCUAAUCCCAAAAACUUUGUCUAAGUUCGGAUUGAAGGCUGCAAUUCGCCUUCAUGAAGCUGGAAUCGCUAGUAAUCGUGAAUCAGCCACGUCACGGUGAAUAUGUUCCCGGAUCUUGUACUCACCGCCCGUCACACCAAGAGAGUUGGUAGCUCCCNGAAGCGUCCCGUUUUAGCGGGGCAUCACGGAGAGAUCAGCGAU
rnacentral:rRNA from 1 species